rnacentral:tRNA from 2 species
GCCUCUCUAGCUCAGCUGGCAGUAGCGGCUGCCUCGUAAGCAGCAGGUCGUCGGUUCGACUCCGACGGGAGGCU